UACGUAGGGGGCAAGCGUUGUCCGGAAUUAUUGGGCGUAAAGCGCGCGCAGGCGGUUAUUUAAGUCUGGUGUUUAAUCCUGGGGCUCAACCCCAGUUCGCAUCGGAAACUGGAUGACUUGAGUGUAGGAGAGGAAAGUGGAAUUCCACGUGUAGCGGUUGAAAUGCGUAGAGAUGUGGAGGAACACCAGUGGCGAAGGCGGCUUUCUGGUCUGUAACUGACGCUGAGGCGCGAAAGCGUGGG
rnacentral:rRNA from 1 species